rnacentral:misc_RNA from 1 species
GUAGGUGAACCUGCGGAAGGAUCAUUAUUGUAUAACCGACGUGCGAGGGCUUGCGCUGAUCCGAAAUGUCGUGCACGCCCGAGUGCCCGCACACACAUCCAUCUCACGCCCAGCCGCACCACCGCUUGGCUCUCCCUCUGGCUGGAUCGGAGGGGGGCUACCGUCUAUACACAAACACUUUAUGCAGCGGAGAAUGUAGUUUUUGUUUUUGCGAUCACGCAAGCAAAACAACUUACAACACGGCAGCUCUUGGCUCCCGCAUCGAUGAAGAACA